rnacentral:snoRNA from 1 species
CCGAAGAGUGAUGACUUUUACCGCCCCAGUCUGAAAAUGAUGAAACGGUUCGUUCUGACUUCCA